rnacentral:tRNA from 2 species
GGGGGUGUAGCUCAGCGGUUAGAGCGCGGGACUCAUAAUCCUUUGGUCGCGGGUUCGAAUCCUGCCACCCCUA